rnacentral:rRNA from 1 species
AGCUGAUCCUCUUCGGAGGUGACGCUUGUGGAACGAGCGGCGGACGGGUGAGUAACACGUGGGCAACCUGCCUGUAAGACUGGGAUAACCCCGGGAAACCGGGGCUAAUACCGGAUAAUACUUUUCAUCACCUGAUGAGAAGUUGAAAGGUGGCUUUUAGCUACCACUUACAGAUGGGCCCGCGGCGCAUUAGCUAGUUGGUGAGGUAACGGCUCACCAAGGCAACGAUGCGUAGCCGACCUGAGAGGGUGAUCGGCCACACUGGGACUGAGACACGGCCCAGACUCCUACGGGAGGCAGCAGUAGGGAAUCUUCCGCAAUGGACGAAAGUCUGACGGAGCAACGCCGCGUGAGUGAUGAAGGUUUUCGGAUCGUAAAGCUCUGUUGUUAGGGAAGAACAAGUGCCGUUCGAAUAGGGCGGCACCUUGACGGUACCUAACCAGAAAGCCCCGGCUAACUACGUGCCAGCAGCCGCGGUAAUACGUAGGGGGCAAGCGUUGUCCGGAAUUAUUGGGCGUAAAGCGCGCGCAGGCGGUCCUUUAAGUCUGAUGUGAAAGCCCACGGCUCAACCGUGGAGGGUCAUUGGAAACUGGAGGACUUGAGUACAGAAGAGGAGAGUGCAAUUCCACGUGUAGCGGUGAAAUGCGUAGAGAUGUGGAGGAACACCAGUGGCGAAUGCGACUCUCUGGUCUGUAACUGACGCUGAGGCGCGAAAGCGUGGGGAGCGAACAGGAUUAGAUACCCUGG